rnacentral:rRNA from 1 species
CCUACGGGUGGCAGCAGUAGGGAAUUUUCCGCAAUGGGCGAAAGCCUGACGGAGCAACGCCGCGUGAGUGAGGACGGCCUUCGGGUUGUAAAACUCUGUUCUUGAGGAAGAAUUCCUUCCAGGCGAACAGCCUGGAAGGUUGACGGUACUCAAGGAGAAAGCCCCGGCUAACUACGUGCCAGCAGCCGCGGUAAUACGUAGGGGGCGAGCGUUAUCCGGAAUUAUUGAGCGUAAAGCGCGCGCAGGCGGCUGAUUAAGUCAGGUGUGAAAGGCUGCGGCUCAACCGCAGAGCGGCACCUGAAACUGGUCAGCUUGAGUGCAGGAGAGGGGAGCGGAAUUCCCGGUGUAGCGGUGGAAUGCGUAGAGAUCGGGAGGAACACCAGUGGCGAAGGCGGCUCUCUGGCCUGUAACUGACGCUGAGGCGCGAAAGCGUGGGGAGUAAACAGGAUUAGAUACCCGAGUAGUC